rnacentral:rRNA from 1 species
CGGCGAGUGAAGCGGCAAAAGCUCAAAUUUGAAAUCUGGUACCUUCGGUGCCCGAGUUGUAAUUUGGAGAGGGCAACUUUGGGGCCGUUCCUUGUCUAUGUUCCUUGGAACAGGACGUCAUAGAGGGUGAGAAUCCCGUGUGGCGAGGAGUGCGGUUCUUUGUAAAGUGCCUUCGAAGAGUCGAGUUGUUUGGGAAUGCAGCUCUAAGUGGGUGGUAAAUUCCAUCUAAAGCUAAAUAUUGGCGAGAGACCGAUAGCGAACAAGUACAGUGAUGGAAAGAUGAAAAGAACUUUGAAAAGAGAGUGAAAAAGUACGUGAAAUUGUUGAAAGGGAAGGGCAUUUGAUCAGACAUGGUGUUUUGUGCCCUCUGCUCCUUGUGGGUAGGGGAAUCUCGCAUUUCACUGGGCCAGCAUCAGUUUUGGUGGCAGGAUAAAUCCAUAGGAAUGUAGCUUGCCUCGGUAAGUAUUAUAGCCUGUGGGAAUACUGCCAGCUGGGACUGAGGACUGCGACGUAAGUCAAGGAUGCUGGCAUAAUGGUUAUAUGCCGCCCGUCUUGAACCACGGACCA